rnacentral:rRNA from 1 species
GGUGGAUUAGUGGCGAACGGGUGAGUAACACGUGGGUGAUCUGCCCUGCACUUCGGGAUAAGCCUGGGAAACUGGGUCUAAUACCGGAUAGGACCACUUCUUGGAUGUUGUGGUGGAAAGUUUUUUCGGUGUGGGAUGAGCUCGCGGCCUAUCAGCUUGUUGGUGGGGUAAUGGCCUACCAAGGCGUCGACGGGUAGCCGGCCUGAGAGGGUGUACGGCCACAUUGGGACUGAGAUACGGCCCAGACUCC